rfam:Xenopus laevis strain J chromosome 5L, whole genome shotgun sequence.
GGGGGUAUAGCUCAGUGGUAGAGCAUUUAACUGCAGAUCAAGAGGUCCCUGGUUCAAAUCGCGGUGCCCCUU